rnacentral:rRNA from 1 species
UGGGGAAUAUUGCACAAUGGGCGCAAGCCUGAUGCAGCCAUGCCGCGUGUAUGAAGAAGGCCUUCGGGUUGUAAAGUACUUUCAGCGGGGAGGAAGGCGAUAAGGUUAAUAACCUUGUCGAUUGACGUUACCCGCAGAAGAAGCACCGGCUAACUCCGUGCCAGCAGCCGCGGUAAUACGGAGGGUGCAAGCGUUAAUCGGAAUUACUGGGCGUAAAGCGCACGCAGGCGGUCUGUCAAGUCGGAUGUGAAAUCCCCGGGCUCAACCUGGGAACUGCAUACGAAACUGGCAGGCUAGAGUCUUGUAGAGGGGGGUAGAAUUCCAGGUGUAGCGGUGAAAUGCGUAGAGAUCUGGAGGAAUACCGGUGGCGAAGGCGGCCCCCUGGACAAAGACUGACGCUCAGGUGCGAAAGCGUGGGGAGCAAACA